rnacentral:tRNA from 1 species
CAGUGGCCGAGUGGAUAAAGCGAUGGCGUUUGAAGCGAACGGUACUGGGUUCGAUCCCAGAGUGAA